CCGGCAGGGAUGAUUCAGUGUGAAGUUAUGUAAGGCGUCUGGAACGGAGGUGGGCAAGGCGCACAAACACGGAGCGUGAAAUGGCAACAAUCAAACUCAGUGGGCGGGAUUAAGUGCUGAUGCCUGACGGCUGACUGGCUGUUUCUAGGUAUGAAUUUGAUAAGUCUUGUGAAAUGUGUUUUUUUUUUUUUUUUUGUUAAGGGCUGACUUAUCUGUGAACUGCAGUAAACUGAAAUUCAAUUCAUAACUAAAAUAUAUUUUGCGAGUUACAAGCGAACUGGACAAGGUUGAAAUAAGAUAAUGAAUGGCCUUCCGCCUUUAUUAAGAUUCAUUUUUGAAUGUUUGCUGUAUGAGUGGGUUAUAAUGUAUUGUAGUGGAAGUAGACAAUAUAAAGACGAGUGGUGCGGCUGAUUUUCUCUGCCUUGUAAAGGUCUCCCUCUGGUGGCCAAAGAGAAAACCUUCUCUUUUUUUAAAAUUAGAAAAUAAGACAACCACCUUCAUUACACUUCAAAAUCCGACGUCUAUUUUUGGCAAUAAAAGUAGACAUGUCAUUAUUUGCUAGCUCACUAUUAACCUUAAAUACUACUGUGUGUUUACUUAUAUACAACUUUUCUGGUAUAUUACUAACCUUCAAGCAUGGCUAUUACCUUUUACGCCAUUCUGUUCGAUUCUAGUCUCACUUCACUGCUCUGUCUGGUCUUUAAUCCCAUUUAAGUGGAUUCCUACGGUAAAAUUUCAACGGGAUAUUGAUUUUCUGCCCCGUUUCAAAACUGUAUUAUCACUGUAGUUUUAGCAAAGGCAGCGGAGUAAGUGAAUGAAUUCAUUCAGUCCGUGUUAGCCGCGCUUACAAUUAAUACUGAAUUAACAUUAACAGCCUGCAUUUCUCUCUUCACAGUGUAGGACAGUUAGAGCUGCAAACAAUUUCCGGUUAGCUUCAUAGCGUCGAACUGGCGCAUUACGUCACGGCCAAACGUUAACGAUUGGUUAACAAAGGCCACGCCUCCAGGAAAUCAUUUCUCAGUUACCAAUUCCAGAUCCUAGCAAAACGCAGAACAAGGGGCUAGUUUUUACCACUAUGCUACCUGAUGGGCCUAAUAUCAAUGCGGCGGAUCACCUUUAUUAUAAAUACUCUUGUACCUUAAAGAAAUAUAUUUGAUAAUAUUUUUUUUAUGAUUGGGGUAAGGCAUAUAAAUCAAAGUCAACAUAAAGCCCUAUUAUGGAGAGAAACAUAAAACUUGUCAGUGAAUAUGGUCACCAAAGCACACAAACUUACUUAAGCUAAAAAGACACAAAGACAGCAUGUAUAUAUAAAAACAUAUAUUUAUUGUUCUGUUACAGUCGGCUAACUUGUUCAACAAUUAACAACAAUGAAGCCAGAGGACGUACUCUACACAGUCACAGAAAGCAUAGCAGAGCUCCUGUUCUUUAAAACUCAGUGGCAUUUAUCGGCACACAUGACGCGUCAUCCAAACUUGUCGAAAGCCGGUUCAAAGGACGUCCUUCAGCCAAAGUGGUUGUUCUCCUCAUUAGGCAAACUCAGUAAAAUACUGUACACUGUGGCGUGUGAAAACGGAAAUCUUGUCUGGUCGUUUGUUCGCGUAGGACAGUGAUAACUACUCACUUUAUUCUUCCUCCAGAACAUGCGAGAAGAAAGAAAGUCAAGUAAAGCAACAAUGAAUAAAUGACUAUCAGGCUCUAACGAGAAAUAGAGGUGCUCUGUACUCAAUAAAACAGUGUGCAGAUUAAAAUAGAGAAAAGGUAAAAUUUAUAUAUUUUUCUAAAUAAAGGCGGCCAGCCACCAGUGCUGUCCCACACACAUUCCUCACCACACUCUACCGCAGUAACAAACUCACUCCUACUUUGUUUCUUUUUUUUUUCUCCCCCCAUUUUGUGGACCAUUGAGUUGCUACUGUACAUCUGCAAGCAAUGAUCCCAUAGCAACGCUUCUGCUGCAGAGUCUGUAAAACAAACUGGAUCCAGUCAAGUAAACUUGUGAAAAAGUGUUGAAUCCGAGUUAAAGAUGUUAUUUGUUAAGUUGGUUCAAAAUGAAAUUCUGACUGGCGGAUCGGAGACUCGAGUACCUGCAUAGACUCUACCAAAUCGAAGCUAGAAUGCUGCGUUCAAUAACACUGAUCUCUUUAGUUAAAGCUGACGGAUGAGCUGGAUUCACUUCAGGACUGGCUGGAUUAGAACAAGAGGAUGAGAAACAUAUCCCAGUGGUUGAGUAUUUCCUUUCAAAGAUGCUUAAAUACUUUUAAAAAA